rnacentral:lncRNA from 1 species
CCAGGCUGGCUUUGAACUCAGAGAACCUCCUGCCUCUGCCUCCCAAGUGCUGGGAUUAAAGACUUGUUCUACCACUGCCCACCUAAAAUCUAUUUUCAAUAAAGGGAGUGAGGGUAGGCAAUAGGCCAGGUUUAUCACAAGAGUUCAUGGGACUUUUAUGGGGGGGGGGUCAUUGUCGAUCAAAUCUAGGGCCUUAUGCAUGCUUGACAAGGCUCUACCAUUAGCUGCACUCUCAGGCUCCUUAAAAUCUUAAGUAUAUCACAUAUAUUAUAAAACUAUCCGAAGGGGAACAUAGGAGGGAGUGUUUUCAUAACCAACGAGGUCAGAGAAGCCUUUCUUCCAGAAGCAUCUUGAGUGAAGGGUGCUCCCUGGAGCACUUUUGGGGACUGCUGACUCAGACUGUCUUCUGUGAGGAGCAGUGUUGCAUGGGAAGGCUCCAGCAGUACCUUCCACUGUAACGCAUCUCCUUUCCAGGCAGCUCUCUGCCCUCAGCUCACAGCCUCCCUGCUCCAGCUGCCUCAGGUGCCACAAAAGACAUAUCACCUCCAUCUCGAUCCUGCUGAAGAUUCUCUUGGGAAGUUGUUUCUGCCCCAUCCAUCUUCCUCUCGAUUGUCCUCUGGACUGCACAUCUGGACCCUAAGUCCUCCUCAAGUGCAGGACAGAACAUCGCUUGUUCCCCAGUGCUUGACACAGCGCAUGGCUGUUUGGCACAAUGGUAGAUUAAGCUCAGACCUCAGUCUUGCCUUCAUGAUUAGGUUUCGCCAGUGAGCCACACAGACAUGAGUGCUGGUUCAUGAGCUAUCUGUGACAUCCCAUCUCAAGUGUUCGAGCUUCCUGGGAGACUGUUCAUCCCCCACUUCCAGUAACCUUGCGACUCACAUUCUGGUAAGCACUUUGUUCCCUCCCUAAGGCCUUUACAUAGGUCGUUCUUUCAACUAGGAUCCUUGUUACUUCCUUCUCCACUGCAACUCUCAGAUGAAAAGGCACCUCCAGGGAGGAGAUUGACCAAUCGUUCUCCAUUCCAUGGCCCCGACCUGCUUUCUGUGUCUUUUUUGUAUUAACUUCCCCCUGCUCCACUGUUAUAGGUAACAUAUCUUAUAGGUAUCUCAUCUUAUCUCCUAGCACCCAGCCUCUGCCGUCGCUGGAUUCCUGGGCUAGAGCAGCACCCGAGACCAGACACGGGCCAUCUGGUUAAAUGAACAACUCAACCCAGGAAUCACAGAUUCUGUUCUGUUCUUUGGUGUUCCUGGAAACCAAAUCGCAACAGAAGUCAGCUAGAACGGCUUUGUAUAGUUAGCCACAAUGAUCUUGGACCUGAACCAACCACCAGGCAGCACUUCCUGUACCCAUGUAUAAACCUUUAUGGCUUCUUGUCUUUAUAAGCUGCCUCUGGGACGACGGACCCCAGCAUAAGAGAGACAUCAGCACCAAUAUAAGAAACUUCCAGUUAGAGUAGGAGUCAAAUAAAGUUUAAAUUCCCAAGGCCUCCCUGGGAACUGACAUCCUACUUGGCAGAAAGAGACCUCUAUGUGGGUAACUGGCAUCCUGGUUGGUGAGUUAAGAUAUGAAUGUUAGGCAAGGCAGGUCCCCUGCCACAGUUGAAUACCCCAAGUGACAACAGGAUACGUGUACAACAAAGUUGUGUUCCUAAGGAAAUCCCCUGUCACCAAAUCCUGAUUGGUGGAAUAACUUGGCGCAGAUAUUUGUGGAUUUCAAGUCUUAAAAGAUCUGUAGGAUCCUGGCUCAUGGUUGCAGCCAGCUCCUGAGUCUGGUCUGUGCCCUUGAUCGAUCAGUCCUGGAGUGAACGUUCAGUAAAGGAUCCCUGACUGACUGAGACUGGUGUUCAUGUGGUUUGUGAGCGACUCCUGGACCCCAACAGGUAUGAAGUGGGCUAAGCUAACUUCAAAUCUGCUGUGUAGCCAAUGGUGACUUUGAACUUCUGAGCUUUCUGCCUCAGCCUCCUGUGUGCCGAGAUUCCUGAUAUACAGUACCAUGCCUGGUUUAUGCGGUCCUGGGGAUCAAUGCCAGGGCCUUGCUCAUGCCAAAUUCACAAACUAGCCAUAUCCUCAGUACUCCUCCCACGAGCCCCUCAUCUUCGAACCAAGACUACUUAGGAUCCAACCUGUAGGGCCUCAGACCUCCUUCUGCAUGGGUACUCCAGGCAGAAGAGGCCAGAAAGGUGACCAAGCUUCCUGGGUUGAGGCCGGCUGUCAACUGUAACUGCGUAUUGCACUUGCCUGUCACUCAAGCAGUCCUUUUCAAAGCCAGGACCCUUUGGGAUGGAAAUGCCAAGCGUGGGUAAGGAGGUCUCUGCCCAUUAGAGUCAAAGGCAGCUUACUGUUCUCACCCAUGUGUUCCACUGCAGAUCUACUAAUCCAGGACCCGACUCCUGUAGUCGGGUCACAUGGGGUGUCUGUUUUGUUUUGUUUUGUUUUCAAGCUCUAUGUGUGAGCCUGGUCCUCUGCAGUGUGAAGCCAUGA